GCCGGAUCUUUGAUAUACAGCUGUGAUGAUAGGGUUGCAAACAGCCUCAACUUCCUUGAGCUUCUCCUCAAAAUCUUCCUUUUCGGCAUUCUGGUUGUCAUCUAGCCACUCGAGGGCUUCUUUCACGGCCGUUUCAACUUUCUCCUUCUCGUCGGAUUCAAGCUUGUCAGCAAGCUUGUCCUUGUCGCUAAUCUGGUUUUUCAUGUUGUAAACAUAAGUCUCCAGGCUAUUGCGAGCAUCAAUCUUUUCCUUCAGCUUCUUGUCCUCCUCCGCAAAUUCUUCGGCCUCACGAACCAUUCUUUCAAUCUCCU
rnacentral:lncRNA from 1 species